rnacentral:rRNA from 1 species
AUUGAACGCUGGCGGCAGGCCUAACACAUGCAAGUCGAACGAGUGGCGGACGGGUGAGUAAUGUCUGGGAAACUGCCUGAUGGAGGGGGAUAACUACUGGAAACGGUAGCUAAUACCGCAUACCAUCGGAUGUGCCCAGAUGGGAUUAGCUAGUAGGUGGGGUAACGGCUCACCUAGGCGACGAUCCAUAGCUGGUCUGAGAGGAUGACAAGCCACUCUGGAACUGAGAAACGGUCCAUACUCCAACGGGAGACAGCAGUGGGGAAUAGUGCACAAUGGGCGCAAGCCUGAUGCAGCCAGGCCGCGUGGAUGAAGAAGGCAUUCGGGUUGUAAAGUACUUUCAGCGGGGAGGCGUUACCCGCAGAAGAAGCACCGGCUAACUCCGUGCCAGCAGCCGCGGUAAUUC